GGUUAUUUAUUGGUCAAGUUGCUUUGCAUUAAAUGCUUGUUUUUCCACAACAAGCAACUAUAAGCCAUUGUUUUAUCUAAAACUCAUAAUCGCUUGGUCGCUGGUUCAAGUCCAGCAGGGGCCACCA
rnacentral:tRNA from 3 species